rnacentral:rRNA from 1 species
GACGAACGCUGGCGGCGUGCUUAACACAUGCAAGUCGAACGGGCCUGUCUUCUUUUUUGGGGGUGGGUUGAGUGGCGAACGGGUGAGUAUCACGUGAGUAACCUGCCCUUCGGUCCUGGAUAACCGCUUGAAAGGGCGGCUAAUACGGGGUGGUCCGGUUGGUCCGCAUGGGCUGGUCGGGAUAGAUUCACUGUUUUUGGUGUUUCGGCGGGGGAUGGGCUCGCGGCCUAUCAGCUUGUUGGUGGGGUGAUGGCCUACCAAGGCGGUGACGGGUAGCCGGCCUGAGAGGGUGGGCGGCCACACUGGGACUGAGAUACGGCCCAGCCUCCUGCGGGAGGCAGCAGUGGGGGGUAUUGCACAAUGGGCGGAAGCCUGAUGCAGCGACGUCGCGUGAGGGAUGGAGGCCUUCGGGUUGUGAACCUCUGUUUCCGGUGGUGAAGGCCCUGUCCGUGUGGUGGGGUUGACGGUAGCCGGGGAUGAAGCGCCGGCUAACUACGUG